rnacentral:tRNA from 1 species
AAAAAUGUAGUAUAUUAAUACAUCUCAUUUACACUGAGAAGAUGCUAAAUUAGCUGUUUUUU